UACGUAGGGUGCGAGCGUUAAUCGGAAUUACUGGGCGUAAAGCGUGCGCAGGCGGUUCGCUAAGACCGAUGUGAAAUCCCCGGGCUUAACCUGGGAACUGCAUUGGUGACUGCAUCGCUCGAGUAUGGCAGAGGGGGGUAGAAUUCCACGUGUAGCAGUGAAAUGCGUAGAGAUGUGGAGGAAUACCGAUGGCGAAGGCAGCCCCCUGGGUCAAUACUGACGCUCAUGCACGAAAGCGUGGGGAGCAAACAGG
rnacentral:rRNA from 1 species